GAUGAAGAACGCAGCGAAAUGCGAUAAGUAAUGUGAAUUGCAGAAUUCAGUGAAUCAUCGAAUCUUUGAACGCACAUUGCGCCCGCCAGUAUUCUGGCGGGCAUGCCUGUUCGAGCGUCAUUUCAACCAUCAAGCCCCAGGCUUGUGUUGGGGUCCUGCGGCUGCCGCAGGCCCUGAAAAACAGUGGCGGGCUCGCUGUCACACCGAGCGUAGUAAUACAUCUCGCUUUGGACGUGCGGCGGGUUCUUGCCGUUAAACACCCCCCUUCUCAAGGUUGACCUCGGAUCAGGUAGGAAUACCCGCUGAACUUAAGCAUAUCAAUAAGCGGAGGA
rnacentral:misc_RNA from 1 species